CCUCUCCUUACAAACACAGUGCUACCUCAUACCGUGCGGAGAUGUGUGCACACAGAGCUGCACAAAAUUAAGGAGAUAUUCAACAUUGCACAUCAGCUGGCUGCUUCCUGCAGGGACACAGCACCAUGUGCACCAACUCUGGUAGCAGAGGCUGGAAGAGCAGUGCUGUUAGGAUGCACUCAGUGCUAUAGCAGCCAUCUCCCAGAUCUUAGAAAGGCACCAAGGCUGACAGAAGUGUCCUAAUAGCUGAAUCUGGCUGCUGAGCUGCCCGAAGGAUCACACAGACAGACCGUUCUUUCUGGAGCUGGCCUUGCUCCAUGGACUCCUCGUUCUCCAUCUUCUUAAUAAAUGAGGCCCCAUACCUUA